CACCAGAGAGAGAGCAUUCCCAAAGGUAAGGAGGUUGGGGGGCGUGUGUUAAAAAAAGUUAAUGUGAGUGAUUGUGUGUGUGUGUGUUUGUGUCUGACUGUGUGUGUGUCUGACUGUGUGUGUCUGACUGUGGGUGUGUUUGUGACUGACUGUGUUUGUGUCUGUGUCUGACUGUGUUUGUGUGUGUGUCUGACUGUGUGUGUGUGUGUGUCUGUAUGUGUCUGACUGUGUGUUUGUGUCUGUGUGUGUGUGUGUGUGUGUCUGACUGUGUGUG